rnacentral:rRNA from 1 species
CCUACGGGUAGCAGCAGUGAGGAAUCUUCCACAAUGGACGAAAGUCUGAUGGAGCAAUGCCGCGUGCAGGAUGACGGCCUUCGGGUUGUAAACUGCUUUUAUAUGGGAAGCGGUACCAUAUGAAUAAGGACCGGCUAACUACGUGCCAGCAGCCGCGGUAAUACGUAGGGUCCAAGCGUUAUCCGGAAUCACUGGGCGUAAAGCGUUUGUAGGCGGAAAUUUAAGUGAGAUGCGAAAUCCUGUGGCUCAACCAUAUAGAGGUAUCUCAUACUGGGUUUCUAGAAGAUAGCAGAGGUAAGUGGAAUUAGUAGUGUAGCGGUAAAAUGCGUAGAUAUUACUAGGAACACCAAUGGCGAAGGCAGCUUACUGGCUUAUUUGACGCUGAGAAACGAAAGCGUGGGGAGCGAACAGGAUUAGAUACCCGUGUAGUC